rnacentral:rRNA from 1 species
GACAGAGGAUGCAAGCGUUAUCCGGAAUGAUUGGGUCGGUAAAGCGUCUGUAGGUGGCUUUUAAGUCCGCCGUCAAAAUCCCAGGGCUCAACCCUGGACAGGCGGUGGAAACUACCAAGCUGGAGUACGGUAGGGGCAGAGGGAAUUUCCGGUGGAGCGGUGAAAUGCGUAGAGAUCGGAAAGAACACCAACGGCGAAAGCAACUCUGCUGGGCCGACACUGACACUGAGAGACGAAAGCUAGGGGAGCGAAUGGG